rnacentral:sRNA from 1 species
UCAAAACAGAACGCGAAAGACGUUCUGUGCAGCACAGGUGUACUUGUGAGUUGAAGGUGGGGCAGGUGGGGCAGAUGGGGCAGGUGCAAAUGUGGGCGAGUGGCGAAUUGCCAAGAGCAAAUAAAAGGCGACGCACUCGGCAAGAGUAAAACGGAGAAAUUUCGUGGGUGCGUUUGGCUCAACUUGGAAAAGCGCCAGGGCGUGGCAGGAAAAUCAACAACCCUUCGCGCCAUAUGGCUUGACUCACUGCGGCAACUUCAGCGCGUGUGGACACUUUCAUUUGCCUAAUUAACGGUCUAAAUGGGAAAUUCAAAGCCAAAAACCGAAACCGAAAAUCCAAAAACCAAAACGCAAAAAUUCAACGCGUAGGAAAUGUGCAAUAAAUAAUACGAAAAAUAAAAACCCCUACGCGAGUGACCAACGUAUAAUUUAAAGCUCGU